CUGUCUGGAACAGGAAGUAAAAUGGGCCGAGAUGGAGCGAGCCCCCAGUGUGCUUCCAAGGCCACUCCCAACUCCCUGAAACACCCUGCUACGUACUGAUGCAAUGUCCUGCGCUGUGUAUGAGAGCACCUUCUCUUCUGAAACCCCUAUACAAGGGAGGGGCCCCUGCGGAGACCGUGCCCUGCCAUCCAGGGUGGAUGGAGUGCGGAGAGUGGAGUCCCUGAACUGAGUAGUGGGAAAGGCCCAUCUCCUAAUUCUCUUCCGGGAGAGACAUCAGGUAAAGCUUGGUGAUUAACAGGUGGAUUGAGAUUUACUGAUCAACUAGUUCAGGAUCACCACAUGCCUGGAAACACUGCAGUGGGGUCCUCAAAAAUUUAUACAAAUAACCAGGGGACUUCCAUCAUCAAAUACAAUAACAGCAUCUCAGGCAACCUCAACUCACAUUCUUGGAAGGAUUACCACAGCAUUUUAGGAACUUCUGACCAACUGUGACAAUUCUAUUCUUUCAGUCCUCAAGGGGAUUCUAAAAAACUAGUGACAAAGUAGGGAAGCAGCUGAGCUGGAAAGGAGUUCUGAGGACGAUGGAACCUUGGGUAAGGAGGAAGACGGCUGCCCACCCGCCCUUUUCUGGCAGCCACCCUCCCUCACACUGUCCGUUCCUUGAUGACACAGCUGAUGUGAUUAAGAUCGUCCCCAAAUCGCUUCA